CCUACGGGUGGCAGCAGUAGGGAAUCUUCCACAAUGGACGCAAGUCUGAUGGAGCAACGCCGCGUGAGUGAAGACGGGUUUCGGCUCGUUAAGCUCCUUUGGUAGUGGAGUAAGAUAGAGGUCGUAACUCGCCUUUAUUUUACGGUAAUUACUUAGAUAGUCACGGCUAAUUACGUGCCAGCAGCCGCGGUAAUACGUAGGUGGCAAGCGUUGUCCGGAUUUAUUGGGCGUAAAGGGAGUGCAGGUGGUUCAAUAAGUCUGAUGUGAAAGCCUUCGGCUCAACCGGAGAAUUGCAUCAGAAACUGGUGAACUUGAGUGCAGAAGAGGAGAGUGGAACUCCAUGUGUAGCGGUGGAAUGCGUAGAUAUAUGGAAGAACACCAGUGGCGAAGGCGGCUCUCUAAUCUGCAACUGACGCUGAGGCUCGAAAGCAUGGGUAGCGAACAGGAUUAGAUACCCGGGUAGUC
rnacentral:rRNA from 1 species